CCUACGGGUGACAGCAGUGGGGAAUAUUGCGCAAUGGGGGCAACCCUGAAGCAGCAACGCCGCGUGAUUGAAGAAGGCCUUAGGGUUGUAAAGAUCUUUAAUCGGGGAAGAAUUUUGACGGUAGCCGAAGAAUAAGCUACGGCUAACUACGUGCAAGCAGCCGCGGUACUACGUAGGGAGCAAGGGUUAUCCGGAUUUACUGGGUGUAACGGGCGUGUAGGCGGGCACGCAAGGCAGACGUGAAAUCUGGGGGCUUAACCCCCAAACUGCCUUUGGAAAUGCGUGUCUUGAGUGAUGGAGAGGCAGGCGGAAUGCCCAGUGUAGCGGUGAAAUGCGUAGAUAUUGGGAAGAACACCAGUGGCGAAGGCAGCCUGCUGGACAUUAACUGACGCUGAGGCACGAAAGCGUGGGGAGCAAACAGGAUUAGAUACCCGUGUAGUC
rnacentral:rRNA from 1 species